AUCAAUGGUGGCUCAGGUGGGGGAACCGAAAGGUUCGCCGGUUGGUUUAUCCGGUUGUGACAACCCUGUCUGGGCUACCACCAAU
rnacentral:antisense_RNA from 16 species